rnacentral:lncRNA from 10 species
UCUGGACACAUCUGAAGGAACAAACUCUAGACAUAACACCUUUAAGUGCUGUAACACUCACGGUAAAGGUCUGCAGCUUCAUUCUUGAAGUGAGCAAGACCAUGAACCUGCCAGAAGGAAGAAACUCUGGACACAUCUGAAGGAACAAACUCUGGAGAUAACACCUUUAAGUGCUGAAACACUCUCCACUAAGGUCUGCAGCUUCAUUCUUUAAGUGAGCAAGGCCUUGUACCUGCCAGAAGGAAGAAACUACGGACACAUCUGAAUGAACAAUCACUGGACAUAACACUUUUAAGUGCUGUAACACUCACCACUAAGGUCUGAACCUUCAUUCUUGAAGUGAGCAAGACCAUGAACCUGCCAGAAGGAAGAAACUACGGACACAUCUGAAUGAACAAUCUCUGAACAUAACACCUUUAAGUGCUGCAACACUAACCACUAACGUCUGCAGCUUCAUUCUUUAAGUGAGCAACACCAUGAACCUGCCAGAAGGAAGAAACUCUGGACACAUAUGAAGGAACAAACUGUGGACAUAACACAUUUAUAUGCUGUAACACUCACCGUUAAGUUCUGCAGCUUCAUUCUUGAAGUGAGCAAGACAAUGAACCUGCCAGACCGAAUAAACUCUGGACACAUCUGAAGGAACAAACUCUGGACAUAACACCUUUCAGGGCUGUAACACUCACCGUAAAGGUCUGCAGCUUCAUUCUUGAAGUGAGAAAGACAAUGAACCUGCCAGAAGGAAGAAACUCUGUACAUAUCUGAAUUAACAAUCUCUGGACAUAACACCUUUCAGCGCUG